ACGAAAUUCGUUCCUACCCCGUCCUCCACCUCCCUCUGUACCUACUUACUGCCCAGCCCCCUCGCCCACUUACAAUAUCCUUAUAUGGUCCUCACUCCUCACCUGCGACGCCUGUCCUUGCCCGCUUCUGAUUGGUGCUAUGAUAUGACGUACAUUUGUAUGUCUGACGUGUAUAUGUGACGUAUGUGUGUGUGUGUCGUGAACUCGGCCGGUGCCGCGCGGUGUGGCACUUCGGUCUUUGAGUCACAGCCGUGCACUUCUGUCUUUAUUGCUCGGCGGGCCGGUCUGUCUUCGGCCCUUGGCAAAGUCAAUUUGUUUGUUAUCUUUGGUUUCUGUGGCCGUGAAUUGAAUACAGGCCCAACUUUGUAUUUACCUUCUGUUUAUUAUUGGAAUCGCGUGGUUGAACGGCAAGAACAACUACGGUCCUACAAAUCUAGACUAUCACAAACAAGAAUUUGCUUAUUAACACUUGUAUUCUGUUACAAAUGGUGCCGUGACCCGGAUCAAAUAAAAAACUCAAGAAUUGAAAUUGGUUCCGCAAGAAAUUGCUCUACAAGUCUACGAACAAGAUGUGGGCAAGACCGUUCUUCCUGACAUUCCUGUUCUAUCUGACAUCUCCGACAACGGCCAACGUUCUCUUCCUGCCCCGAGGCCAUCUCUACGCUUCAUACGACCACUGGACUCUUCACAUCCCCAUCGAAACCAGGACAUCAUGGACGUUUGUAUUGAAGCUGGAGCAUCAUGUGAAGCUCUUUAAAAGUAAAGUCAGUAGUAUAUUUGCAGAGCACCGCCAACAAUUGCGAAGUGACCAGGCAAUUCAGUUUUUUGCUAAGUUUAACCAGAGCGUAAAAGUUAUUGACAUUGUAAUAGAUACUUGGUCAAAUGCGGUACUUGUUGAUCUUUCGGAAACUAAUGUUUCACUCCCCGAAGCAGUAAACUUCAUUCCCCCACUUCAGGACAAAAGUGUCCAUUUGUCUAACUUGAAGAAACAUAUUCAACAGAUUCGAGUACGCAAUGCUCAGCAUAAUAAAACUGUCGUUAUCCCCGCCAUCUCGGUCACAACGUGUAUUGUGGUUGCGUUAGUGCUAUUAACUGUUCUAUACGUCCGAUGUCAUGUGUUUAAACCCAUUAUGAUCCGACCCCAGAAAGUAUCCGCUCAAAAUCCUGCCCCUGACAGUGUUAUUGUUGAAGAAACGUCAAGUGUAGCUCCAAAUAUCAAGCCCCGGGAAAAACUCACGGACCCAAGUCCCUCGUGCUUACAAUGGUUAAAACCGUCUCCGACCCUCGCUUCUCAGAAAUCCGCAGAUGCCUGAUGCAAAUAUUUUCCAGAGGAGUUCUUUCUCCGCAGCAGAGGUACCAGUAGCGGCGCUCCCACACUCGGUCGAGCCGCCGCCGGUGCUAGUCAGCGCCACUGAGAUCGGGCCGCCCCGCAUCGGACACCCAACGUCCGGGCGCCCCGAUAAAACUACGCUGACGCGUGGUCUGGUCAGCCCGACACCGGACGGACGACCCACAACAAGACGCGAGACGUGAGAACGUCAAUGUGUCAACAUCUGACACAUCAUCUGGCGACAGCGUGUCGACACCUGACACACGAUCUGGUGUCAAUGGACAAUAGACUGACAAACACGUGUCAGACAGCAGCGUCAAAGGUGACCUAAACCCUCUGAACUCUCUGAACUCCCUGAACUGAUGUGCCCGCAGCGGAAUCUUACCAGUGAUUGCGAAGCGAGAACCGAAUCGAUGAGCACGAGUGGGACAGUAGACUAUGUUUCGUAAGCGGACAAUGAAGAAGACUCUAUAGACUUAUAGCUACGAGGACUACAACGAAAAAGAACGGGAAAUUGUGUGUUGAGGUGCUGUGUAUAUUGUUGUGUUAGGUGUUGUUUGUGUUGUGUCGUGUGUUGUGUACGUUAUAUCAUGCAUCAUAUUAGGAGUAUCCCAAGCCGAAAAUUUUGGUCAAAAUUUCAGCUUUAAGGACCUCGCGUUGUGUUGUAACGAAAUUCGUUCCUACCCCGUCCUCCACCUCCCUCUGUACCUACUUACUGCCCAGCCCCCUCGCCCACUUACAAUAUCCUUAUAUGGUCCUCACUCCUCACCUGCGACGCCUGUCCUUGCCCGCUUCUGAUUGGUGCUAUGAUAUGACGUACAUUUGUAUGUCUGACGUGUAUAUGUGACGUAUGUGUGUGUGUGUCGUGAACUCGGCCGGUGCCGCGCGGUGUGGCACUUCGGUCUUUGAGUCACAGCCGUGCACUUCUGUCUUUAUUGCUCGGCGGGCCGGUCUGUCUUCGGCCCUUGGCAAAGUCAAUUUGUUUGUUAUCUUUGGUUUCUGUGGCCGUGAAUUGAAUACAGGCCCAACUUUGUAUUUA
rnacentral:lncRNA from 1 species